rnacentral:rRNA from 1 species
GAUGAACGCUGGCGGCGUGCCUAAUACAUGCAAGUCGAGCGAACAGACGAGGAGCUUGCUCCUCUGACGUUAGCGGCGGACGGGUGAGUAACACGUGGAUAACCUACCUAUAAGACUGGGAUAACUUCGGGAAACCGGAGCUAAUACCGGAUAAUAUAUUGAACCGCAUGGUUCAAUAGUGAAAGACGGUUUUGCUGUCACUUAUAGAUGGAUCCGCGCCGCAUUAGCUAGUUGGUAAGGUAACAGCUUACCAAGGCAACGAUGCGUAGCCGACCUGAGAGGGUGAUCGGCCACACUGGAACUGAGACACGGUCCAGACUCCUACGGGAGGCAGUAGUAGGGAAUCUUCCGCAAUGGGCGAAAGCCUGACGGAGCAACGCCGCGUGAGUGAUGAAGGUCUUCGGAUCGUAAAACUCUGUUAUUAGGGAAGAACAAAUGUGUAAGUAACUAUGCACGUCUUGACGGUACCUAAUCAGAAAGCCACGGCUAACUACGUG